AGCCCGGUGGCGGAUGGUCCGCACCCACUGCUUGUAGCAUUAACGCUUUCCACCAGCAUUCUGUGGGAUCCCCUGUUCGACUCGGGGCCGGGCUA